UGCAGUCGAACGGUGAUAGCAAUAUCAUAGUGGCGCACGGGUGCGUAACACGUAUGCAACCUACCUAUUAUUGGGGGAUAGCCUUUGGAAACGGAGAUUAAUACCGCAUAAUACGAUUGACUGGCAUCGGUUGAUUGUUAAAGCUUUGGCGAUAAUAGAUGGGCAUGCGUCCAAUUAGUUAGUUGGUUAGGUAACGGCUGACCAAGACGAUGAUUGGUAGGGGAUCUGAGAGGAUAAUCCCCCACACUGGCACUGAGAUACGGGCCAGACUCCUACGGGAGGCAGCAGUAGGGAAUAUUGGGCAAUGGGCGGAAGCCUGACCCAGCCAUGCCGCGUGCAGGAAGAAGGCGUUAUGCGUUGUAAACUGCUUUUUUAUAGGAAGAAGGAUCCCUUGCGAGGGAAGGUGACGGUACUAUAAGAAUAAGCACCGGCUAACUCCGUGCCAGCAGCCGCGGUAAUACGGAGGGUGCAAGCGUUGUCCGGAUUUAUUGGGUUUAAAGGGUGCGUAGGCGGUUUAUUAAGUCAGUGGUGAAAGACGGUCGCUCAACGAUUGCAGUGCCAUUGAUACUGGUAGACUUGAGUGAGAUUGAGGUAGCUGGAAUGGAUAGUGUAGCGGUGAAAUGCAUAGAUAUUAUCCAGAACACCGAUUGCGAAGGCAGGUUACUAAGUCUUAACUGACGCUGAGGCACGAAAGUGUGGGGAUCAAACAGGAUUAGAUACCCUGGUAGUCCACACUG
rnacentral:rRNA from 1 species